GAUGAACGCUGGCGGCGUGCCUAAUACAUGCAAGUCGAGCGAACGGACGAGAAGCUUGCUUCUCUGAUGUUAGCGGCGGACGGGUGAGUAACACGUGGAUAACCUACCUAUAAGACUGGGAUAACUUCGGGAAACCGGAGCUAAUACCGGAUAAUAUUUUGAACCGCAUGGUUCAGAAGUGAAAGACGGUCUUGCUGUCACUUAUAGAUGGAUCCGCGCUGCAUUAGCUAGUUGGUAAGGUAGCGGCUUACCAAGGCAACGAUGCAUAGCCGACCUGAGAGGGUGAUCGGCCACACUGGAACUGAGACACGGUCCAGACUCCUACGGGAGGCAGCAGUAGGGAAUCUUCCGCAAUGGGCGAAAGCCUGACGGAGCAACGCCGCGUGAGUGAUGAAGGUCUUCGGAUCGUAAAACUCUGUUAUUAGGGAAGAACAUAUGUGUAAGUAACUGUGCACAUCUUGACGGUACCUAAUCAGAAAGCCACGGCUAACUACGUG
rnacentral:rRNA from 1 species